UACAGAGACUGCAAGCGUUAUUCGGAUUCACUGGGCGUAAAGGGUGCGCAGGCGGCCGUGUGUGUCAGGUGUGAAAGCCCGGAGCUUAACUCCGGAAUUGCGCCUGAAACUACAUGGCUAGAGCAUUGGAGAGGGUAGCGGAAUUCACGGUGUAGCAGUGAAAUGCGUAGAUAUCGUGAGGAACACCAGAGGCGAAGGCGGGUCUCUGGACAGUUCCUGACGCUGAGGCACGAAGGCCAGGGGAGCAAACGGG
rnacentral:rRNA from 1 species